rnacentral:rRNA from 1 species
GUCUGGGAAACUAGCCUGAUGAGGGGGAGUAACUACUGGAAACGGUAGCUAAUACCGCAUAAUGUCGCAAGACCAAAGUGGGGGACCUUCGGGCCUCAUGCCAUCAGAUGUGCCCAGAUGGGAUUAGCUAGUAGGUGGGGUAACGGCUCACCUAGGCGACGAUCCCUAGCUGGUCUGAGAGGAUGACCAGCCACACUGGAACUGAGACACGGUCCAG